GGUUUUUGUUGGGCGGGUCUUGUUUUGUUUAUUACCCUAUCGGGUUUACACUAUCGGGCUUCGGGUACCCGAUGGUUUUUUUUUUUAAAAAAAAAUUAACCGAAACGACGUCGUUUUACAUUAUAUUUUACCCCAAAUUUUUGUUUCUCCCGUAACCACAGCCACAAAACACAGAUCUAGAAAUUAGACAUGCUUUCUUGCGACGAUUCAUUCUAGAUUGGGUUCAUUGGCCCCAACGAAAGGAGUCAAAGUGUUACCAGAA